GUGACUGUAGCUCAGGGGUAGAGCCCCGGAUUGUGAUUCCGGUUGUCGCGGGUUCAAAUCCCGUCAGUCACCCCA
rnacentral:tRNA from 1 species